rnacentral:lncRNA from 1 species
AUUUCUACUCAACGCGCGUCCUGUGAUUAAGGCUGAGGCAGUGGGUGUCUGGGGAGGAAGUCAGAGCUGGCACCCACAGGACAACCACACGUGCGCACGACACCCCGGUGAGGCCGCACAUCCAGACCAGGAUAUGAGACAAUGUUAUAAAGCAGCAACAAUCACAGUCGUGUUACUGGCGCACACCCAGAAAUCUAGGUCAGAGGGAAACAAUAAG